rnacentral:lncRNA from 1 species
CUGUAUCGCGUGUUAUAGCGCAAUUUAAAUUUAAAGGCAAUGUUGUGAAUUAGUGGAGACUGCAUUCACGUUAAACGCUGCAUAUGUUGGCUCAAUCGUAAAUUACCUUUACAUUUUUACGCAGACCUUCCACAAUACUUUCACGAUACGGAUUGAAUCAAGCCCUUAAACUUUUUCUCCAUCUCAAAACCCGCAUCAGCCAAUUACUAUCGUCCACAUUGUUGCACGUGAUAAAACACUACAUGUUAGCUUUUGCCAUCAGAUAACCAAGCAAACUAGUGAUGGACUGGAGAUGCUUUUGCCAGACGGCGUCAUCAGUCGUUUGGUGGGGAGACCAUAAUUGGAAACAUGUAUGUAGCCAACAGAUGGAGACUUGCUAGAUGAUAAAGUCCAGAAUGACAGACGGAAUUAAGACUUGUCAAGGUUGUGCGCUACUGGUGGAGAAGUCAGGUGCAGGAGAGCAGAGAGUUGUGAACAGGUGCACACUUUAUUUAAGCAGAGGCAAUAAAACAGACCAACGCCACUGCGUCAAAACUUCCAGACAAAGGCAAAAAGUGCAAGGUGUGAAAGUCACAAAAAUAAGCAAAUGUUUAACAAUUAAACAUCAUUCGUGAAAUACCACGGAAUACAGGGGAAAAACCAGCCUGGCGUGUAACACAAAACACGUAACAAAAACAAUUUCACACAAAGACAUGGGGGGGAAAAAAUCUGAGGAAUAAAUACAUGCAGUGUGAUUAGGGAAUGUAAACCAGGUGUGCAGGGAACAAGACAAAACAAAUGGAACAAUGAAAAAAUGAGCGGCGAUGGCUAGAAAGCCGAAAGGAGAGGAGAAAGGAGAGGAGCCAACUUCGGCGGAAGUCGUGACAAUACUGAUUAAUCUGAAUGGCGAGAGACCUGGUACUUGGUAUUAACAUUUUACUAGACAACUUUUACUGGUAUUGUCUUUUUUUAUUAUUGAAUUUAAUGGUAUCAGUCAAUAAAUGGAGAGAGAAACCCUGUGUAUUCUGCACCAGGAUCAGAGAACUCCUGUUGCAUACGGGACACCACACAGGAAGGUAUGACCACUCUGACAUGUUUGCCAAGGAAGCCUCAUUUACUACCAGACAAAAUGCCGAUAAGCACAGUAUCUGUAUCAGCAUGGAAUGACAAUGAAAGAUGAGAGGUGCACAUUGUUAUGUUAGCAGAACACUGCUUCUAUGGUAUUAUGUUAAGGGUUGUUUAUUCUACAUGGACCUGUAGCUACAUUUCAAAGUUAUCAAAAUACUUAGUUAGAAUAUCUGAAUAUCUGUGUAUUUAUUAUUUUUCUAUAAUUGUUAUACUUUUCUCUCUGCAUUGUUGG